UUCUGUUCCGACUUCACUGUCGAUGAUCCAGCCUCGUGCUGUUGAUUUCUAUUAUCAGUCAGGGAGAUGCGAGAAGACUAAGCCUAUGAUUAGGGGUUAGCUUGGAGUCGUUUUUCAGUCUUUGGUCGUAGACCUUGUAGUGGAACUUUCCUGUGUGACUGAGACUUGUAUUAUGUCUGUAUUUCUUCGUUCGCAUACUGUAUCUGUGGAACUGUUUUCUGUUGGGCUGCUAAAACUCAUAUUUGUGUUAUCUCUA